GCUCACGGUGAGGAAGCCCCGAGCUCCCGGGACGCAGACAGGGUGUGCAGGGCCGUAGCUCGGGCCUGUGUAUGCACCUGUGCGUGUGUGUUUGAUGCCAGGACAAGGCGGCGGUGUGCGCGGCGAGGAGGCUGCGACAGGUGCGUGAUUGUGUUCCUGUCCCUGCUCGGAUGCGGGACCUUUGGGUGGCCGUGGUCGGCUGUCGGGUGUGUGACACUGUAGGGUUUGAGACCUUCCAUCAUGACAGUGCUGCUGUGGCCGUGUGAUGGAAGAGCCUUUUAGGUCUGUGGUGUUGUGUGUGUAACGGGUAAAGCUUCAUUUCUGCAGUGCUGUGUUUAAUGUUGGGACUGAGGGGUCUGUCGAAGAUCUCCCCAAUGUGCCUGUGAGGACUAUGAUCCAUGCCUAUGUUAAGCAGAGUCAUCUUGCAAUGAAGCAUGGCCCGCGUUGUCUUCUCAGGGCACACCUGUCCCCAGUUCUCAGCCUGGUGUUUGACACAGGGGAUCCUGGCGGAGUGCCCACCUAAGCGGCAGUUUUAGACUCGAUUGUUUCUUGGGCUCUGCAUCUCUGAGUUCCCAGCUUCCUUUUUUCUCCCGCUUUAUAGCUGUAUAGACCCCAGCUGCAGUGAAAUGGCCAUCAAAAAGGGAAGGGAUAAUCGAGUGGUGGAAUAAAAUCUGCAAACAGAAAAAGGACAGACCUGUUUUCGGAACGAGGCUUUUCGAGUUACCACCAUGACUGAAGGCUAAGAGCAACUUGCUUGCGCAUUAAAGAUCACUUGGAGAGAGAGGUCCAGUGAGCAACAACGGCCAGAAAUUUCAGGGAGACCAUCUUGAACCAUCCAGCCUCCACCAGGCCAACAGCUGACAGCUGUCACAUGAAUAUGAUCAGCAGAAGAACCACUCAGGCAAGCCAAGCCCAAAUUGCCAAGCCCCCCAAAUAAUAAGCUAAUUGUUUUUUGUUUUAAGCCAUAAACUUUUGAGGUGGUUAUAUAGCAAUAAAUAACUGAAACAGGUGUUUAACUUUCUAGACUUUUUAAAUGACCAUAUUGAUAUAAUUGUAUUGUUCAACCUGUUUUGUAAAGUGAUUUCUCUGAUACAGUAUCUUGAAAAUAUUCCUUAACUAUUUUCUACAACUUUGCAUUUGUCUAUCUUAGUAUUAUAUUACAUGGAUAUGUGGUAACUUAUUUAACUACUAACUUCCCUUUGCAAUUCCUUUUCCUUGCUGUCUAGCUCCCAUGUCUUGACCAACUUUGCAUUCCCCUCCAGGACCUUAUGGGCACAUGGGUUCCUAUCAUUUCACGGGUAUGUAGACUCAGGAAUGUGGCAUUGACUUCUGGGUGGAGUACAGAUGACUGACACCCCCACCCCGAUUCGGAGGAAUUAUUCAGGGGUGUGAUAUAACACCUACAUACAUUUAUUUAACUAGCCAAUUUGGUCUCCCCUUUUUUUGUUUUGAGACCGAGUCUUGCUCUGUCGCCCAGGCUGGAGUGCAGUGGCGUGAUCUCGACUUACUGCAACCCCCGCCUCCAAGGUUCCAGCAAUUCCCCCACCUCAGCCUCCCAAGUAGCUGGGACUACAAGGCGCAUGUCACCACGCAUGGCUAAUUUUUGGUUUUUAGUAGAGACGGGGUUUCACCAUGUUGGCCAGGAUGGUCUCCAUCUCCUGACCUUGUGAUCCGUCUGCCUUGGCCUCCCAAAGUGCUGGGAUUACAGGCGUGAGCCAUUGCACCUGGCCAUCAUUAGUCUUUUAAAUCCACCAAUCCAGUAGAAAUUAUAUUUAUUUAAAUGAAUUACCCAUGCACAGGUUUCAUUCAGUGUAAUAAAAUAUGGGCUUCAGAAACAAAAACCAGAACUGAAAGAAAAUUGGUUUUGUAGGUAGAAAAAUGUGAUUUAAAAAUGCAGAUAUGCCAUUUAUUUUGAGGGUGUAUAGCUCACCCCUGUAAUCCCAGCACUUUCGGAGGCUGAGACGGGUGGAACACUUGAGCCCAGGAGUUUGAGACCAGCCUGGGCAAUAUGGUGAAACCCCGUAUCUACUAAAAAUACAAAAAAUUAGCUGGGUGUGGUGGUGCACCUGUAGUCCUAGCUACUUGGGAGGCUGAGAUGGGAGGAUCACCUGAGCCCAAGGAUAUUGAGGCUGUAGUGAGCCGUGAUUGUGCCAAUGCACUCCAACCUGAGCGUUGGAGUGAGACCAUGCCUCAAAAAAACAAAAACAAAAAACUCUUAAAAUCGAGGGAAAGACCCAAAAACCCGAUAGAAAAAGUGAGUAAAAGAAAUGAACACAUGAAAUCACACACACACAGACACACACACACACAAAGAGAGAGAGAGGAAGCACAAAUUUUAAAAUUAUAGCGUGCUGGCUUUUUAAAAAAAUAAACCCAGCUGGGUGUGGUGGCUCACGCCUGUAAUCCCAGCACUUUGGGAGGCUGACAUGGGCGGAUCACGAGGUCAGGAGAUUGAGACCAUCCUGGCUAACAUGGUGAAACCCUGUCUCUACUAAAAAUACAAAAAAUUAGCUGGGCGUGGUGGAGGGCACCUGUAGUCCCAGCUACUCGGGAGGCUGAGGGAGGAGAAUGGCGUGAACCUGGGAGGUGGAGCUUGCAGUGAGCCAAGAUGGUGCCGCUGCUCCCCAGCUUGGGCGGCAGAGUGAGACUCCGUCUCAAAAAAAAAAAAUAAUAAUAAUAAUAAUAAUAAAAUAAUAAAAAAAAAACCCAUGCAACCGCCAUUACAGACAUAGAAACUUUCCAACAUCCCAGAAGGCUCCCUCAUAUCUCUUCCCAAUCAUUAUACCUCAAAGUUAACCAUUAGUUUGACCUCUAUAAUAGAAUAGUUUGGUUUGGUUUUGAACUUCAUAUAGGUGGAAUCAUAUAGUAUGUACUCUUGUGUCUGACCUCCUUUGCUCAACAUUAUUUCUAAGUAUAUAGAUACAUAUAGAUAACAUUAUAUCCAUGUUGCUGUACAUAGUAGUAGCUUGUAAUUUAACCUUUUUUUUUUUUUUUUUUUGAGACAGGGUCUCAUUCUGUACUCCAGGCUAGAGUGACAGUGACACUAUCAUAGCUCACUGCCACCUCAAACUCCUAGACUCAAACAAUCCUCCCACCUCAGCCUCAGCUCCCCAAGUAGCUAGGACUACAGGUGCAUACCACCACCACACCCAGACAAUUUAAAAAAUUUAUAGAGAUGGGGUCUCACUAUGUUCCCCGGGCUGAUCUUGAAUUCCUGGCCUCAAGUGAUCCCCCUGUCUCUCAGCCUCUGAAAGUGCUGGGAUGACAAGUGUGAGCCAUAGCACCCACCCUUUAUCAUGUAAUUAUUUUGUUACUUCCCUCUUGUUCACUCUCUCUACAUAUAUCUGGUUGUAUGUCUUAAGUCUUAUACUACUAGAAAUUAGGAGUUAGGUUGAUCAGUAUAUACAAAGUUUCAGUUAUAUGAGAGGAAUAAGUUUUGGUGUUCUGUUGUGUAACAUGAUGACUAUAGUUAAUAAUAUUAAACAUAUGAACUGGGGGGGAACAAAUCAGUCUAUAACAAUUCCCAAUUAAAAAAAAAAAAAAGAAAACUUGGCCAGGUGCAGUGGCUCACACCUUGUAAUCUCAGCACUUUGGGAGGACAAGGUGGGCCAAUCGCUUGAGCCCAGGAGUUCAAGACCAGGCUGGGCAACAUGGUGAAACUCCAUUUCUACAAAAAAAUACAAAAAAUUAGCUGGGUGUGGUUGUGUGCCUGUAGUCCCAGAUACUUGGGAGGCUGAGGUGGGAGAAUCACUUGAGCCCUGGAAGUCAAGGCUGUAGUGAGCCGUGAUUGCACCACUGCACUCCAGCCUGGGCAUCAGCGUGAGACCUUGUCUCAAAGAAACAAAACUCCUCUUAAUGUCAAGGGAAAGACCCAAAAACCUGACAGAAAAGAUGGGUAAGAGAAAUUAACAAUUCACAAAAAAUAUGUAAAAGGGACCCUUAAAUGUGUAAAAAGAGAAAUACAAAUUAAAAUAAUAUGGAGACAGGCCAGGUGAGGUGGCUUACACCUGUAAUCCCAGUGCUUUGGGAGCCUGAGGUGGAAGGAUUGCUUGAGGCCAGGAGGUUGAGAUUACAGUGAGCUAUGAUUGCACCACUGCACUCUAGCCUGGACAACAAGCAAGACCCUGUCUCUUGGCAGGGGGAGAGGGGGAAUACUGAGACCAUUUUUAACCUAUCAAGAUGACAAAAAUUAAAAAAUAUAACAAUGUAUUCUGUUGGUGAGACAGGAUAUAGUCGGCUGACUGAUGACCCUGCAAAAAGAUAUGUCCAUGUCCUAAUCUCUGGAAACUGUGAAUGUUACUUAAUUUGGAAAGAGGGUCUUUGCAGAUGAAAUUAAAUUAAGAAGUUUGAGAUGAGUAGUUCAUCCUGGAUUGUCUGGGUGGGUUGGGUCCUAAAUCCAGUGACAAGCAACCUUAAAAGAGACACAAGGAGACUGGCAGACAGAGGAAGAAGAGGCAGCAAUGUGACCCCGGAGGUGGAAAUCUCAGUGAUGGGGCCAGGAAUGUCAAGGAAUGGUCAAGGAAUGGCUACAGCCACCAGAAAAAGAGGCAAAGUGAGGCUUCUCCCCUAGAAUCUCUAGGAGCGCUCCAGCCCUGCUGAUGUCUAGAUUUUUGGAGUUCUGGCCUCCAGAAUGUGAGAGAGUAAACUAUUGUUUAAAGCUACCAAGUUUGUGGUAACUUGUUAGAGCAGCCACAGGAAUGAAUGUACAGGGAAUCAGGCAGUCUCAUACACUGAUGGUGGGAAAACAAACCGGCACAACCCUUAUGGUGGGAAAUUUGACAACAUGUACAAAAACUACCUACACAUUUCCCUUGUGACCCAGCCAUUCCACUGUUAGGAAUCUGCCCUGAAGAUACAACUCCACCUAUUAAAAAAUACAGCCAUUAGAAUGGAUGAUGUUUACCGCUACUUGCUGACAAAGAAAAAUGUUCACUUGUGUUAAAUGAGAAAGACAGGUCUCAGAACAGCAACAAUGUUCUAGACGAUUCUGUUUUUUAAUACUCAGUAUAUGUAGAGGAGAUUAAAGGGAUUUAUCGUGAGAUGCUCAUAGGGGGCAACUGUUAUUUCAGAUUUCUUUUUUAAAAUUUUUAAUUGACAAGUAAUAAUUGUAUAUAUUUGUACAACAAUUGUAUGUAUUGUAUGUACAAUUGUAUAUUGAUGUAUAUAUUUGUACAAUAAUUGUAUAAUUUAUAUGGUACAAUGUGAUAUUUGUAUGCAUCAAUACAUGAUGGAAUGAUCAAAUCAGGCUGGUUAGCAUAUCCGUUACCUCAAAUAUUUACCAUUUCUUUGUGGUAAGAACAUAUAAAAUCCUAUCUUUUAGCUAUUUUGAAAUAUACAAUACAGUAACUAUAGUCACUGUGUUGGACAAAAGAACAGCAGAAUGUAUUCUUCCUAUCUAAACAAAACUUUGUACCUGUUAACCAGCAUUUCCCCUUUCCCCAUCCACCACAUCCCCACCCCCCAACCUUUGGUAACCACCCUCCUACUCUCUACUUCUAAGAGUUCAACUUUUUAGAUUCCACAUGUAAGUGAGAUCAUACAGUAUUUGUCUCUCUGUGUCUGGCUUAUUUCACUUAACAUAAUAUCCUCUAGGUAUACCCAUGUUGUUGCAAAUGACAGAAUUUCAUGUUUAAGGCUGAAUAGUAUUCCACUGUGUAUAUAUCCUCCAUUUAAAAAAUCCAUUCAUCCAUUGAUGGACACUUAGCUUGUUUCCAUAUCUUAGUUAUUGUGAAUAAUGCUACAGUUAACAUGGGAGUGCAGACAUCUUUGACAUACUGAUGUCAAUUCCUUGUGGGGUUGCUGGCUCAUAUGGUAAUUCUAUUUUUUGUUUUUUGAGGAAGCUCUACACUGUUUCCCAAAAUGGCUGUAGUAAUUUACAGUGCUCGCAACAGUGUUCCUUUUCUCUACAUCCUCACCAACACUAACCUUUCAUCUUUGUUUGUAAUAGCAGGUGUCUAACAGGUGCACGGUAAUAUCUCACUGUGGUUUUUUUGGGGGGGAUGGAGUCUCGCGCUGUCGCCCAGGCUGGAGUGCAGUGAUGCAAUCUCGGCUCACUGCAAUCUCCACCUCCUGGGUUCAAGCGAUUCUCCUGCCUCAGCCUCCCAAGUAUCUGGGACGACAGGUGCGUACCACCAUGCCUGGUUAAUUUUUUGUAUUUUUAUUAGAGACGGGGUUUCACCAUCUUAGCCAGGAUGGUCUCGAUCUCCUGACCUCAUGAUCUGCCCAGCUCGGCCUCCCAAAGUGCUGGGAUUACAGGCGUGAGCCACCGCGCUCGGCCCCUCAUCGUGGCUUUAAUUUGCAUUUAUCUGAUGAUUAGAGAUGUUUAGCAUUUUUCGUAUAUGUGCUGGCCAUUUGUAUGUCUUCUUUUGAGAAAUGUAUACAAGUCCUUUGCCCAUUUUUAAUAGGGUUAUUUGUAUUCUUUUUUUUUUUUUGAGACAGAGUCUCACUCUGUCACCUAGGCUGGAGUGCUGGAGUGCAGUGGGCGAUCUCGGCUCACUGCAAGCUCCGCCUCCCAGGUUCACACCAUUCUCCUGCCUCAGCCUCCUGAGUAGCUGGGACUACAGGCACCCACCACUACGCCUGGCGAAUUUUUUGUAUUUUUUAGUAGAGAUGGGGUUUCACCUAACCCCAAGGAUGGUCUCAAUCUCCUGACCUCAUGAUCCACCCACCUUGGCCUCCCAGAGUGCUGAGAUUACAGGCGUGAGCCACCGCACCCGGCCAGUUAUUUGUAUUCUUGUUAUUAAGAAGUGUGAGUUCCUUUUACAUUUUGAAUAUUAGCCCCUUAUCCAAUAUAUGAUUUGCAAGUAUUUUCUCCUAAUCUUUGGGUUGUCUCUUCAUCCUAUUGUUUCCUUUGCUAUGUGGAAUAGGAUUCUCUGUUUUCUUAAUUUUAAUGCUCAGUGUGUAUUUCUUUUAUAAUUAGAAACUCUAUAAGGCUAAUCCUUCCCUCCUUAAAACUGGAAGAAUUAUAGAAGGAGCUAUGGGCACACUGACACAGAGGCAUGAUGGUGAGGUGUCUUUGGGAACUCAGACUGAAGGGACCUCAGUUCUCUCCACUGGCCACUGAGGGAAAAGUUUCUCAAACAAUACCUUGAAGUUUUGACUCUUCAUAUCAGCUGAGCAUUUAUCUGCAAUGGCUUCCCUCUUCUUUGAGCCACCUUAACACAUUACUCUCCACACAUUCACGGCUAUCUCCUUUUCUUCAAUGGGGAAAUCACAUCUGGCUUAGAGAUAAAAGGUCCUGUAUAUAGGAAAAGAAAUUGGACUUAGGCCUGUUGUGGUGAUGUCAAUUCAGGGAGAGGAAAAUAUGAGACAGAGGAAGAUAAAGUCACUUUAGGUGUCAAGAAAAUGAAGCCUCAAUAAUAAAAACACAGUUGAGUGUUUGCAGCUAUAAAAAUGUCAGAUCAGUUCUUCCAAGGCUCUCAAGAGACUCACAAUGAAAGAAAAUACUCCCAGCAAGCAGAUUAUAAAUAAUAAAGGAAAAUAUUCUUUAAAAAUUUUUAUUUUAUUUAUUUUUUUGAGUUGGAGUCUCACUCUGUUGCCCAGAUUGGAGUGCAGUGGCAUGAUCUCAGCUCACUGCAAACUCCACCUCCUGGGUUCAAGCGAUUCUUCUGCCUCAGCCUCCCAAGUAGCUGGGACUACAGGCGCGCACCACCAUGCCUGGCUAACUUUUGUAUUUUUAGUAGAGAUGGGGUUUCGACAUGUUGGCCAUGCUGGUCUCGAACUCCUCACCUCAGGUGAUCCACCCGCCUCGGCCUCCCAAAGUGCUGGGAUUAAAGGCAUGAACCACCAUGCCUGGCCUUUUUUUUUUUUUUUUUUUUUUUUUUGAGACAGAGUCUCGCACUGUUGCCCAGGCUGGAAUGCAGUGGCAUGAUCUCAGCUCACUGCAACCUCUGCCUCCCAAGUUCAAGCAAUUCUCCUGCCUCAGCCUCCCGAGUAGCUGGGAUUACAGGUGCCCGCCUCAACACUGGGCUAAUUUUUUGUAUUUUUAGUAGAGACAGGGUUUCACUAUGUUGGCCAGGCUAGUCUCGAACUCCUGACCUCGUGAUCCACCCACCUCAGCCUCCCAAAGUGCUGGGAUUACAGGCGUGAGCCACCACACCCAGCCUUUUUUUUUUUUUUUUUUUUUUGAGACGGAGUUUCGCUCUUGUUGCCCAGGCUAGAGUGCAAUGGCAUGGUCUUGGCUCACCACAACCUCUGCCUCCCAGGUUCAUGCGAUUCUCCUGCCUCAGCCUCCCAAGUAGCUGGGAUUACAGGCAUGCACCAUCAUACCCAGCUAAUUUUGUAUUUUUAGUAGAGACAGGGUUUCUCCAUGUUGGUCAGGCUAGUCUCGAACUUCUGACCUCAGGUGAUCUGCCCACCUCGGCCUCCCAAAGUGCUGGGAUUACAGGCAUGAGCCACCGCGCCCGGCCCUAUCUUUUACUUUUAUAAAUAGAGAUGAAGUUUCACCAUGUUGCCCAGGCUGGUAUCGAGCUCCUGGGCUCAAGCGAUCCCCCAACCUUGGCCUUCCAAAGUGCUGGGAUUACAAGCGCGAGCCACCGAAAUUAUUCUUAACUAGCAAGACUAGGCUCUGACAUCACAUCCUUAUAGUUACAUCCCUUUAAGCAGGGUUCAGCCACUCACUCUGCACCUGGAGAACUUGAUGGUUAUCCCUCGAAGUGACAGUCCUGCAAAUGACAAAAACACUCCAAAUCUAUUAGGUUGGUGCAAAAGUAAUUACGCUUUUUGCCACUGAAAGUAAGUCCCACAGGACCCUGAGGGAAAUGGGAGGGUGGGGUAUACAUAGCAGCUGGGCAGCAUAUGGAAGGAAUUUCUCUGGCAUGGUUCAGCUUUGAGUCUAGCAGGAAUAUACUAGUUUAAAAAUUCCAGAACUUCCUCAGAACGAACUGUUAAGUGAUCAGUUAAAAAAAAAAAAAAGUUGGUUGGGUGCAGUGGCUCACACCUGUAAUCCCAGCACUUCGGGAGGUUGAGGCGGGCAGAUCACUUGAGGUCAGAGGUUCGAGACCAGCCUGGCCAAUAUGGUGAAACCCCGUCUCAACUAAAAAUACAAAAAUUAGCCAGGCAUGGUGGCAGGUGCCUGUAAUCCCAGCUACUCGGGAGGCUGAGGCAGGAUAAUCGCUUGACCCAGGAGGCAGAGGUUGCAGUGAGCCAAGAUGGUGCCACUGCACUCCACCCUGGGCAACAGAGUGAGACUCUGUCUCAAAAAAAAAAAAAAAAAAAAAAAAAAAAAGGUGUAGAAUAAUAGAAAAAUAUAGACAAAUCCAAAACAUGCUGACAGUGGCUACAGUAGGUUAUUAUAUGUACAGCUAUGCCAUUUAUCAAAGUGUACAUAUGUACAUACAGAUACAUGUACAUAUACAUACAAAUAGAAUGCCAGACAUCAGCAAUAGAAAUAAAAAUAUCUAUAGAGGUAUACUGGGUGUUUUUGUUUUUGUUUGAGACAGAGUCUUGCUCUGUCACCCAGUCUGGAGUGCAGCAGCGUGAACAUGGCUCACUGCAGCCUUGACCUGCUGGGCUCAACUGAUCCUCCUGCCUCAGCCUCCUGUGUAGCUGGGACCACAGGCACAUGCCACCACACCUGGCUAAUUUAUUAUUAUUUUUUAUUAUUUUUUUGAGACGGAGUCUCGCUCUGUCACCCAGGCUGGAGUGAAGUGGUGCAAUCUCGGCUCACUGCAACCUCCGCCUCCCGGGUUCAAGUGAUUCUCCUGCCUCAGCCUCCUGAGUAGCUGGGAUUACAGGUGCACGCCACCACGCCCAGCUAAUUUUUGUAUUUUUAGUAGAGACAGGGUUUCACGAUGUUGAUCAGGCUGGUUUUGAACUCCUGACCUUGUGAUCUGUCUGCCUCAGCCUCCCAAAGUGCUGGGAUUACAAGCGUGAGCCACUGCGCCUGGCCAAUUUUUUAUUUUUUGUAGAGAUGGGGUCACAUUCUGUUUCCCAGAGUGGUCUCCAACUCCUUGGGCUCAAGCAAUCCUCCUGCUUCAGCCUCCCAAAGUACUGGUAUUACAUGUGUGAGCCACCACACCCAGCCAAGGUAUACCUUUAACAUUUAACAUUUAAUAGGCUGUGAUACUGAUUUUUUGUUUUAAAUAUACUUUUAUAAAUUUAAACUUAAGUAUACUUGUUACAUAUACUUGCUAUUUUCUUUGCAAGAAACAUCUGUUGAUUUUAGAAUGUAUGUUUAAGGCAUUUUAUUAAAUGGAAGAUUUUCAAAAAGUAGAUUAAAAAAGCUUUUAGGCCGGCUGCAGUGGCUCACGCCUAUAAUCCCUCCACUUUGGGAGGCUGAGGUGGACUGAUCACUUGAGGCCAGGAGUUUGAGACUAGCCUGGCCAACAUGGUGAAACCCAUCUCUACUAAAAAUACAAAAAUUAGCCAGGCAUGUUGGUGCAUGCCUGUAAUCCCAGUUACUUGGGUGGCUGGGGCACGAGAAUCGCUUGAGCCCAGGAGGAAGAAGUUGCAGUGAGCAGAGAUCAUGCCACUGCACUCCAGCCUGGGCAACAGAGUGAGACUCUGUCUCCAAAAAAAAAAGCUUUAAGAAGUCUUUAGAUUUACAGCUAAGCAUAUUCUAAAUACUAUGUGAUGAAUUAUUUCUCUUAUGUUAAAAAAAAUAUUAAUUUGGACCCAACUAUGACUGUGGGUAUUCUGCCCAGGGAAGAAGAGCUAGGAGGUUUAAACCUUACCUUGGACUUGCUGCUUUGUUUUCUAUGCCUUCUUGACAGAAGGAUUUAUUUCACUUCCGAAAUAUUAGCCAUAAUGCCCUGCUAUCAGUAAGAGGACAGCCUUGCUCCAUUAGUACCCUUUAGACCCAACAUCAACAGACUCUAAUCUGUAAGGCAUACACAUGACGAGAGGACAUUCAUUCACACCCAGAGCUCCUAUGAAUUCUUGGGAACUCCCAGGGUUAUCACCUGUACUUCUCUAGAAGUCUUUGUCAUGCUCUACCUUUGACUUACUUUUAUUUCCCCUGUUGAAUUAUAAGCAAUACAAAAGCAGCAAUUAUAUCUUAGUAAUUUGUGCUUCUUCCAAGUAUUGAAGCACAAGGUCUUGCAUGUUGCCAGGCAUGCCAGUGUCUUACUCAGAAACCCCCCACUUCUAGGACAAUUUGUCUCUUAGGAAGUAAUUAUAAAAAUGAACUAAAUAGUAUUACAAGAAUGCCAUUGAAGAAUUCCUGAUAAUAAUUAGUAAAUAAAAAUGUUUGAGAAUAAACAGUGUGUUAAAUAUCAUAUAAUAGAACCCAUAAUCCUAAUGAUUUUCAUUCCAAAUUAGUUGGCACUCAUCAGGAAUGGCUUUGUGAAGCGGGUGGGAUAUAGAAUAGAAGGUGUCAAGUUAGAAAAUGGUAAUCUAAUAGUUAAAGACUGAGGACUUUGAAAUUCAAAUUCCAGUUCCUUCUCUUAGGAACUCUGUGACAUUUUACAAGUUAUUUAAGCUCUUGAUGCCUCACCUGCAUCAUCAGUUUACCGGGAAAGGUAUCAAUAACUCCCUCAGGGUUCUGAGGGGAGUUAAAUGACACUAUACAUGUAAAAUACUUAGGAUAGUAUAUUAAGGUUCUCUAGAGAAACAGAACAAACAGGGUGUGUGUGUGUGUGUGUGUCUGUGUCUGUGUCUGUGUGUAUGCAUGCACACAGAAAGAUUUAUUUUAAGGAACUGGCUCAUGCAAUUGUGGAGCCUUGGUACGUCCAAAAUCUGCAAGGCAGGCCAGCAGGCUGAAGACCCAGAAAACAGUUGUGAUUCGAAGUCUAAAGGCAGUCUGCUAACACAAUUCCCUCUUGCUCAGACAUUAGCCUUUGUACUAUUAAGAACUUUAGCUGAUUGAAUGAGGCUCAUCCAUUGUGUGGAGCGUAAUCUGCUUUAUUCAGAGUCCACUGAUUUAAGUGUUACUCUCAUCCAAAAAAACACCUUUCACAGAAACAUCCAGAAUAAUGUUUGACCAAAUAUCUGGGCAUCAUGGCCCAGUCAAGUUGACACAUAAAAUUAACCAUCAUAAGUCCACCCUUGUCGACUUGGUACCCAUAAGCAUCUCCUAAAACCAUACUUCAUAUCUGAAUAAAGGCAGUAACAAGGUUAUACUUCUGCUUAACAUGAUACAACUAUCCUGCAUAAAACCAAAAAUAACUAACACUUCCCCAGAAGAGGAUGCAAAGUCUGGAUGAUGUUAAUGCUUCUCCCUGAUAUCCCAUAACUUAAAAACUGAUAUAAAGUUAACAAUAUUUAAAUACUCUAAUAUAAAGUCAGUAUAUCAUACUGUACAUGAUAAAGAGAUAUGAAAGGGAUGAAAACAAAGCUGUGUUGUAUACACAUUCAUUAUAAAAUAAAGAAGACACAUUCAUGACAAUUAGUCUUUGUUUCUGUAACUGCUCACGUGGUUAUAGCUGGUAUUCAUACCUACCUUCUUCCAUUAUCCAUUAUGUAUUCCUUUUUCCCUCAGCAAGCGAGCUCCUCAGCUGAUUGUGGUUCUUUAACUGGUGGGGUGACCCAAACCUUCAUUCGUUAAGGGUCUGGAUGGUAGUUUUGGCAGAAGCAUUUUGUGUCAGGAAGGCAAAUUUGUAUCUAAAGUGUGUAUUCCAGUAAGAAAAAAAUACUACCCCUUCCAUGAUGGAAGCAAUCCAAUGUAUCAGCCUGCCACCAGGGAAUGGUGCCAUAUUGGGGAGCCAAUGUUGGUCUUGGCUGCCAGCAGACUGGGCACUCAGCAGUAGCUGUAGCCAGUUUGGCUUUGGUGAGCAGAAGUCCAUGUUGCUGAGCCCAUGCAUAACUUUCAUCACUGCCAUCAUGACCACUUUGUUCAUGAGCCAAUUGGGUGAUGAUAAGGGUAGCUUGGUAAAGAGGCUGACUGAUAUCCACAGAAUGGGUCAUCCUAUACACCCGAUUAUGAAACAUCCUCUGCUAAGGUUACCCUUUGGUAAGUAUUCACAUAGGGCACAAAUAUCUUUAUAUUUUUUACCUGUUCAGCGAGGUCCAUAUCUCUUCCCUAGAAUUCCUUGUCACCAGUUUUUAAAUAAUGUUCCUUCCAAGUUCCUGACCAUCCAGCCAGACCAUUGGCUACAGUGCAUGAGUUGGUAUAUAAUGUCACAUCUGGCUAUUUCUCCUUCUAGGAAAAAUGAACAACCAGGUGCGGUGCUCAGAGUUCCAAUCACUGGGAGGAUUUCCCUUCACCACUGUUCUUUGGGGAUGUCCCAGAACAGGACUGUAGCGCUGUCCAGGUGGUAUCUGUCUAUCAUGCAGAACCAUCUGUAAACCAGGCCUGAGUCUUCUCUACCUCUAUCAACUGAUCAUAGGGAACUCCCCAUGAGGCCACGAGUGCAGGCUGGGAGAGAAAGGUGGAGACAGUUUUAGUCGCUUCCACCUGGCCUCUCCCACCAUAACAGCCCUCAGUCCACAGGUCAGGUAAUCAAUGUGGGGAUUCUGCCGGUUACUAAGUAGAUUUAGUCCAAUUAUGUGUAUGGUAUUGGGGAUACAACCACAGAAUGCUUCUGGGACUUGCUGUGCCCAUUGUGAGACAGACCUGAGCUAAAACUCCAUUCAUCACCUAACUGCCAUAAGCCCCUACUCUGACUGGUAGAUCACAGUGAUGUUUUGGAUCUCCUGGAAUUGAGGUCAGUUCAGAGCCAGUGUCUAAUUUAAAACAAUUUAAUAAAAAUGAAACAAUAAUUUAUUGUGAUAAAGAAUGCAAAAUGGCCAUGAAAGAACAUUUCAAAGAAAAUAUCUGUUACAGGGUAACUGUCUGGGAAGAUGGCUGAUAUUCUUUGAUGGAAGUUAAAUAGAUAGGAAAUCUACUAAAGAGUUAAUUGAUUUGUGUAAGUGGAAGACUUCUAGGUCAAGUGAACAAAAGUAUAACUUGAUUCAUAAAGACAGAAAGUCAGUGUCCCUCAAUGAAUACCCAGACUUGAGCCAGUGAAGAGACCCAGAAGCCCUUGAACAAAGGGGAGGCCAGGUCCCCUUAAGGAAGAGCACCAGUAUACUUCCAGAAAUUUAUACUGUUAAUCUUUCUCCCAGUCUUCCAAAAGGGACCUACGGCUUUUAUUAGAGUGACUGUGCAGAGACCAACACUGAGUCCCAACAUGACACCAUUCUCUGGUGGCAGGUUGGUUACAUCGGACUGCUUUUUUCUCACUGAAAUAGACACUAUGGAUAUGGAUUUGCCUUCCUUAUACAAAGUGCUGCCACCAAACUACCCUGAAAAGUAAUCCCUGAAAGGUCUGAUUAUUUAUUUUCCCCACUGUAACGUAUCCAUGGGUCCCAGAUACCUGCAUUCUCUUAUGUAGUUACUACAUUCAUAUAACUUCGCAAUCUUUCAUUCGGAUUUUAAUUCAUGUCACAUUUAAACACACCAAAUCUCACAUGAUCUCCAACUCAAUCAUAAUCCUUUAAAACAUACACAUCAACCUCAAAGCCACAACAGUCUAAUCACAUACCCCUUCACUGUCAUACAAUUCAUCCAGAGACUUGAGCAUAUUCGCAAACCACUUUCACAUAGUCAUCCCUCAGUGUCCCUCCAGGACCCCUCCCCACCAACAUACACAGAUGCUCAAGUCCCUUAUAUAAAAUGAACACGGUAUUUGCAUAUAAUCUAUGGAAAUCCUCCCAUAUUCUUUAAACCCUCUCUAGAUUACUUAUAACACCUAAUAACCAUGUAAAUACUAUGUACAUAGUUGUUAUAUUCUAUUUUUUAGGGCAUAAUGACAAGAAAAAAAGCCUGUACAAGUUCAGUACAGAUGCAAACAUCAACUUCUUUUCCCAGAUAUUUUCAACUGAAGGUUUGUUGAAUCCACAAUGCAAGACCCAUGGAUAGGGAGGGCCAGCUGUACGUCAUAUAUUUCACUCUACUUUCUCUCUCACUGACAGUUUCAAGUGCAAACCAUCUCACAUACAUGAAUGAGAAUCAGACACAAGCAGAAUCACUUGUUCUCAAACAAGCACCAUUUCCUCAUAUUACACUUGGUGAUGGAGUUACUGGUCUCUCAGCAAGGUUAAAAAUCCUUACCAUGGAUCUGUCCCUUCUGGCAGAUAACAUGUGCCAGCUUCCACUCCUCUAAGUCGGCUCUGGACUCUCACACACAAACAUACACAGUCACCUCACACCGCUCCUAUGCAUACAUCUAAGGUUCAGGACGCCCUGGUCCAGAGAUCUGUCAUUCAUCCAUCUCAGACCUUCCUGGUCGCAACCAGCUUCUUCCCUUCUCAGGGGCCGCCACAGUCACACUAGUCCUCUAAUCAUGGGUGGACCCAGCGCAAAAAGCCUCACACAGAAUGUCACAAGAUCCCUGUGCACGUGGCUGCGCUCCUGCAAACGUGGCAAUCACACGGGUCCAGGUGGCCUCUCACAUUUAAGCCACAUCACGUAUCACCCCCACAGGGGCCACUGCGGGAGUGGCGGCGCUCGCCGCAUGAGCCCCACGCGGGCAUAUAGAACAGCCAUUCUCAAAAAGCCUCAAAACCGUUUCACCACCCAGCGCGGUGGCUCACACCUGUCAUCCAAUACUUUGGCCACUGAGACGGGAGGAUCGCUUGAGCCCAGGAGUUCGAGACCACCAGCCUGGGCAACAUAGCGAGACCCUGUCUUUACCAAAAAAAUAAAAAUAAAAUAAAUCGUUUUGGCCUGACCCGGUGGCUCACGCCUGCUAUCCCAGCACUUUGGGAGGUGGAUGCGGGAGGAGCUGAGGAGGUGGAGACUGCAGUGAGCUAGGAUCGCGCCACCGCAGUCAGCCUGGGCAACAGGGCAUGAAGACCCUGUCUCAAAAAGAGGCCGGGCGCGGUGGCUCACGCCUGUAAUCCAGCACUUUGGGAGGCCGAGGCGGGCGAAUCACGAGGUCAGGAGAUCGAGACCAUCCUGGCUA
rnacentral:lncRNA from 1 species